GAUAUACUACGAGAUUCAAAAUAUAUCAAAGAGUGUAGAUUCACAGUGCUGUUAAACUCUUGCUCUUUUAGUUUCUGAGCUCUAGGUAUCCAUACGUACCGAUAAAUAGACAGAUAAACAGACAUACGGACAUGCAAUUGUAAUCAGAAGCCAUGAAACCAUUACUCACCUGACGCUUGGCCAGUAUCAUUUCCCAGAUGUGAUCAAUGGUGAGCACAGCCAGCAGCACCCAAAGAAGAUGCUGCGGAUCGAUCUUUGGCCAUGUGUCGUAAAAAACCAUUGCUCAGGAUAAGAUCAUGUUUUCCCGAAAAAAACAACAAACAACAAUAAUAAACGAACAACACAUACAAAGUAUACUAUAGUAUAAAUAUUUUAUUUCUUGGGGAAUCCGAAACGAAAUCGAAAUAAAAAAUAAA